rnacentral:rRNA from 1 species
UACGUAGGUGGCAAGCGUUGUCCGGAUUUACUGGGCGUAAAGGGCGUGCAGGCGGUUUGUUAAGUCUAGGGUGAAAGCUCCCGGCUCAACUGGGAGAGGUCCUUGGAUACUGGCAGACUUGAGGAGGGUAGAGGAGAGUGGAAUUCCCGGUGUAGUGGUGAUAUGCGCAGAUAUCAGGAGGAACACCGGUGGCGAAGGCGGGUCUCUGGGCCGAUACUGACGCUGAGGAGCGAAAGCGUGGGGAGCGAACAGG